rnacentral:rRNA from 1 species
UACGUAGGCAGCGAGCGUUGUUCGGAGUUACUGGGCGUAAAGGGUGUGUAGGCGGUUGUUUAAGUUUGGUGUGAAAUCUCCCGGCUCAACUGGGAGGGUGCGCCGAAUACUGAAAGACUAGAGUGCGGGAGAGGAAAGUGGAAUUCCUGGUGUAGCGGUGAAAUGCGUAGAUAUCAGGAGGAACACCGGUGGUGUAGACGGCUUUCUGGACCGUAACUGACGCUGAGACACGAAAGCGUGGGUAGCAAACAGG